rnacentral:rRNA from 1 species
UAGGGAAUCUUCCACAAUGGACGAAAGUCUGAUGGAGCAACGCCGCGUGAGUGAAGAAGGGUUUCGGCUCGUAAAGCUCUGUUGGUAGUGAAGAAAGAUAGAGGUAGUAACUGGCCUUUAUUUGACGGUAAUUACUUAGAAAGUCACGGCU